rnacentral:lncRNA from 1 species
AUCAAGCUUUGAUGAGCGUCUACUUCUUGAGACUCUGGAGGACUUCUGUUUAGGCUCUUUCAUGAUUGUAACUUUCCAUGUUUGUUAAAUUCCUUUUCAUUUUUCAAUAGGAUUGGGAGUAGUGGAGACAGAUUUCUGAGUAAGAAGUGGAAGCUUGUGUAAUUUAAACACAUGAACACAGUCCCCCUCCAUAUCCAUGGGUUUCAGAUUUGAAUCCAGGGAUGUUAAACUCGAGAAUACAGAGAGUGAACUGCGUUCAUUGUGCUACACCAUUUUAUCUAAGGAGCUUGAGCAUCCCUGGAUUUUGGUGUCUGUGGGGGGUUCCUGGAACCAAUUCCACCCCACCCCCUUACCAAGAGAUGACUCUACAGGUUUCCCCCACCAUCUGAAAGUUUGCUUUAGGCGACUUCACUUUUACGAAAGACCUAUAUUAGUACCUGUGCUUGCUAACCAAAAGAGAUCCAAGGAGGAUUUUCGCUUUUACAAAAAAGGUGAGAGCCAGCCCUGAUGGCUGAGUGGUUCAAGUUCAGCACCCUCUACUUAAGCAGCCUGGGCCAGUUCCCAUGUGCGGAACGACAUCACUCAUCUGUCAGUAACCAUGCUGUGGUGGCAGCUCACAUAGAAGAACUAGAAGGACCUACAACUAGAAUAUACAACUACAUACUGGGGCUUUAGGGAGGGGGGAAAACGGUGACAAGUGAAAAUAGCAUUCAGUGUUUGUUUCGCAGGCUGAGUCGAGCUCUUUAUAGAGGCUUAAUGGUCAAACCUACCAUCGUAAUUCAAGCCUUUCACAUCAGCCCUACCAGACGACAAACCUUGACCUUCGACACAGAGGCAGGCAGACAUAGAUGAAGGUGUAGACAUUAGUGACCUGUCUGCCCUGAGGGAUUCAGACAAUGAGAUGUUAAUAGAUGACCUCUUCCUCUCUCUUCUACACCGGAGUCUCCUGUAACUCCCACCACACCAAACUCCAAUGACUCAGCCUCACACACCACCAUCACCACCACCACCUCUCAGCCUUCCUGUGUGCUCACUGUCUUCCUGAUUCUGGUUGACAGGACAAGGAGUACACGCAUGAUGGUUUUGUAGGGGACCUGCAAAGCUUGGCCACUCUCUUUUCCACCAGUUUGUUGCCAGUUUAGUGGACCUCUAAACUCAGGACCUACUUGGAUUAGAUUGGAGACUUGGCAGACAGAUGCCUCAAUCCACUCUCUUAUACAUACGUUCAACAGAAAUGAGACACUCCAGGGCAAAACAAAACCACAAAAUGAAAACUUUGCGUAAAUGAACAAAAGCAAAAGCAAAGCAAGCAGCAGGAGAAUAAGCAGAUUAAAGAAAAUAUACUUAUUGAAUGGUAUGUGUACCUUUAAAAGGAAAAGUCUAGUCACCUUGUAUAAAGACGUAGGCUUGAUUACCGAAUGGUGCACUUCCAAAUCAAAGAAGUAAUUACCAAAUAAAGAAAAAACUUGACCUAAUUACCUUGUACAAAGACCUGAGUCUAAUGGCCCAAUACAAAGGUCUUCUUGGCUACAAAUCCUAGGAUAACAAACUAAUUCAGCAACAAGAGCUCAGAUCAUUACUGGACUCACAUUCCUGGCAGCAGAUCUGAAGGAUGAGUGGAGUUUGGGCAACAAGGGCCCCAGUGAGUAAACACGAGGGUUGCCUGAGAUGCUGUUCUGCAGGGGUCUUCAAAAUUAUGUCAGUGACACCUUCAGAAUUGUCAAGAAAUCAAUGAGUCCACCAUUUAACUCCUAAAAUAAACAAAGCUGAAUUUAUUGUUUAGUACAGUAAGGAAGCACUUACUAUAUCAGCAAGCAUAGCAUCGGUCAUGUUGGCCAGGCACAUUCUCUCGGAGCAGAGCAGAGUGCAAAUCUUAUUUGGCUCUUGGAGAAGCAUGGAAUGUGGUGUCUGGUGGACUUUAAGAGGCGGGAGUGGGUUGUCACCGUCAGUAGGUGUAGUCAGUCAGGUGUGACUGUUUUUGACUGAUUAGCACUCAGUGGUGUGUUUUGUAGACUAAGUGCCUCUAUACUUAAAUAAUUACAGAAGCAAGAGAUUGAUGCUGAUUGGCUGACUUGUUCACUGAAUUGAGUUAUCACUGGUAAACUGAACAGAUUUAAAAUUCAUUCUGGUAGCUACUUUUACCAUGGCUAUGAGCAAUCAGUCUUUUUCUAAGUUUUUGAAAAUUUUAAAUUCUUAUUUUGAAGGAAGCCUGUACUGAGUUUGAUUCUCAGCUCUGUCAUUUAAUUUGCUUAAUAUCUCUGUAUUUUGGCAGAUUACUAGAUCACUCUGAACCCCAAGAAAACUGAAAUAACUGUGUCUACCUUGCAUGAUUAGAAAAGAAUAUACUAAAAGCACCUUGCAGUUCACAUUCAAGAAAUAAUACAUUGUAUCUCAUAAUCUAAAAUAGCCAAAAAUAAAAACAUAUAACACUAAAGAGAGUUUAUUUUGUGCCAGGCGUUUUUUUCCAAGGGCUUUUACAUAUUUUGCUCAUUUGAACCUACAAGCAGCCCUCUGGUAUAGGUAUUAUUAUGUCAUUUUCCUCAUUUUACAGAUAAGAAAAUGGAGGCACAGUGCCAUUAAGUAAAAUGCUCUAUGUCACAGUAAGUGGUACAGCUAGGAUUCGAACCUAGGCAAUCUGACAGCAGGAACUUCUGUGCUUAACCUCUAUACCAACUACCAAUCUG